UGAAAUUAAGAAAAUGGAGUUGCUUAAAAAUAUUACAAAAGCAAUUCAUUUGAGUAAACAUUUACCGAAUGAAGUUAUUCAAUUAAACCUACAGAAGAUGAAAAAUCUAAUGAAUGCUGAAAUGAAAAAGAUGAAAUUACUAAAAAAAA